rnacentral:rRNA from 1 species
AAAGGAAUUGACGGGGACCCGCACAAGCAGCGGAGCAUGUGGUUUAAUUCGAAGCAACGCGAAGAACCUUACCAGGGCUUGACAUCCCUCUGACCGGCCGGUAACGCGGCCUUCCCUUCGGGGCGGAGGAGACAGGUGGUGCAUGGUUGUCGUCAGCUCGUGUCGUGAGAUGUUGGGUUAAGUCCCGCAACGAGCGCAACCCUUGUCAUUAGUUGCCAUCAGGUUAAGCUGGGCACUCUAGUGAGACUGCCGGGGAUAACUCGGAGGAAGGUGGGGAUGACGUCAAAUCAUCAUGCCCCUUAUGUUCUGGGCUACACACGUGCUACAAUGGCCGGUACAAAGAGAAGCGAACUCGCGAGGGUGAGCAAAACUCAAAAACCGGUCCCAGUUCGGAUUGCAGGCUGAAACCCGCCUGCAUGAAGCAGGAGUUGCUAGUAAUCGCAAAUCAGAAUGUUGCGGUGAAUGCGUUCCCGGGUCUUGUACACACCGCCCGU